ensembl:lncRNA
CUCUUACUGUCGCCGUGGCUCCUCCCAGAGGGCGGAGCUAGCACUCGGGAAGGAGCUCCAGAUGCCCCUCCCCCACACCAUGUCUCUCCACUCAUUGGCCAAGCUCACCGGGUUGCUGGACCAAUCACAGGAGGAGAAGCUGGCCUGCUCCUGUCCUCAGAUGUACGCCUCCUUGAUCCCCAGAGGAGAACCACUCCUCUCCUCCUCUCAGCUCCUCCCCUCCUCUCAGCUCCUCCCCUCCACUCAGCUCCUCCCCUCCUCUCAGCUCCUCCCCUCCCCCCAAGCUCCUCCCCCUCCUCUCAGCUCCUCCCCUCCCCAAGCUCCUCCCCCUCCUCUCAGCUCCUCCCCUCCUCUCAGCUCCUCCCCUCCUCUCAGCUCCUCCCCUCCUCUCAGCUCCUCCCCUCCCCAAGCUCCUCCCCUCCUCUCAGCUCCUCCCCUCCCCAAGCUCCUCCCCUCCUCUCAGCUCCUCCCCUCAUCUCAGCUCCUCCCCUCCUCCCAGCUCCUCCCCUCCUCUCAGCUCCUCCUCCAUCAGGUAACGCAGGACGACGCAGAAUUCUACCCACCCCAGCUGUCAAUCAAAGGGGAGGAGGACCACGCCCCCAGAGCUCUGCCUCCUCAUCCCGACCAACCGCUGCUCUCCAUCCUCCAUCACCAUGGCAACGCCCUGACCAACGGCUCCUCCUCGCGCCCCCCCCAGGAGAGGGGGAGCUCGGGGCCAGGGGGAGGUGGGGGCAGGGGGAGUCGGCCCUGGAGGAGCUCCUCAAACACAUCCAGGAGGUGAGCGCCUCUGGCCAGGGGGGCAUCAAGGUCCUCACCUCCUCCUGCUCCUCCUCCUCCCCCUCCUCCUCCUCCCUCCUCUACCCGGGGCACACCCACCUUCACCAUGGCAACCAGCCGGAGAUCAGCCCCAACACGCGCUCCCACCACUACAACCUGAGCAGCCAUCACCAUAGCAACAGGACGGCGGAGCCGCCGGUGCCGGCCGCGGCGGGCGUCACGGUGACCACCCGCCACUCCCAGAGACACGCCCUCAUCAAGACGGGCGGCGACGGGGGAGGGGCCGUGCCAAGACCCGCCCACUUCCUGGCGCGCAUGAACACCAACAGUAGCAGCAACGGCCCCUCGAGCGCUGCCGCCGCCACGCCAGCUAGCGCGCCGCCAACGCUAGCGCCGCGGCAGCGCACGCCAGCACUAGCGGGCUAUCGGCUAGUGCUAGCCCCGCCGCCGCCGCGCCACGCUAGCCCCGCCGCCACCGCCCAGGCUAGCAGCGACGCGGUACACGGCAGCACUACCGGGCUAGCGGCUAGCGCUAGCCUGACGCGGCAGCACAGCUACAGCGACGGGCCCCGGGGCCCGCGGGCCGCCGCCCUGUGGAGGACGGGGUCCCUGAAGCCCCCGCUGCCCCCCAAACCCCUCCUGCUCCACCGCCCCUGCGCUACACCACCUAGCCCCAGUGCUACACCACCUAGCAUCGCUACACCACCUAGCACCACUGUUACACCACCUAGCAUCGCUACAUCACCUAGCAUCAGCGCUACACCACCUAGUAUGGCUACAUCACCUAGCACUGCUAGUACCAGCACUACACCACCUAGCACCAGUGCUACAUCACCUAGCCCAAGCGCUACACCACCUAGUACCACCACUACACCACCUAGCACGUCUACACCACCUAGCCUCGCUACACCACCUAGCACCAGCGCUACACCACCUAGCACCGCUAGACCACCAGCCCCAGCACUACACCACCUAGCACCACCACUACACCACCUAGCCCCAGCACUACACCACCUAGCACCACAGCUACACCACCUAGCCCCAGCGAUACACCACCUAGCACAGCUAAAUAACCUAGCACCACCGCUACACCACCUAGCACCGCUUAAUCACCUAGCACCACCACUACACCACCUAGCGCCGCCAAAUCACCUAGCACCACCUCGCACAGCUACAGGUAGGUACAGACACUGGGGACACAGCAAGCCAGCUAACAGGCUAAUGACAGCUUGCCAGCUAGCAGGCUAAUGACAGCUAGCCAGCUAGCAGGCUAAUGAAAGCUAGCCAGCAUGCAGGCUAAUGACAGUUAGCCAGCUAGCAGGCUAAUGACAGUUAGCCAGCUAACAGGCAUACAGUCAGACAGACAUUAAGUCGGACAGACAUGGAGAAAGACAGACAGACAUCUCACUUCAUCCUUUCAAUAUGAGGAACAGGCACAUAAUUAAUAUACACAUAAUUGUUGUAAUAAUCCAUAUUUUGAAUUAUUGGUUUGCCCUGAUGGCAAACUGCUGGACUGACCAGAGAAGACGAACGUUUGAGUCACCAAGUGGCAUAUGAAUUGUUAAUAUUGAUUAUUAAUAUGGUUUAUUAAUUAAUAUGUCUUAUUAAUAUUGAUUAUUAAUACGGUUGCCGACUGGUUGCCGACUGGCAUGACUUCAGAUUAUGCAAUAGUUUAUAACUUCUUAUCCUCCCGGGGUCCGGCUGACUAGUGGAGUGUGAAGGGACUGAAGUGACGAGGUCUGUGAUCCCGUCCGUCAGCUUUUGAUAGAAUUGAUUUUAAAUAAAACCCUUUGCUACGAGCUUCUGCUUCAUUGGUUUACAUCACGUCACAUUAACCUUCCUUUUGUUGCUGUCGGUUUAGCCUACUAUUCUUUUACAUCAGUACUUCUCUAGAUUCUGGGAGAAUAUUUCCUUCACAAAUAUAUAUCUACAAAUACGUAUCGACAAAUAUAUAUCUACACAUAUAUAGGUACAAGGAGCAUAAACGCAGACAAAAACACUUGAACACAGAAAAGAAGCAGACACACAGACCAGGAGCAUAAACACAGACAAAAACACAAUUAGUAAACACAAAGACAAACACACUAUCCCAUAUUAUUAUGGCAGCAUAUUCGAUUUGUCAGUAAGCAGUGUUUUAUAGAUUUUAGAAGGAUUUGAGUGAUGUAAUGUUCCUUAGUUCUGUGGGUAUAGAAUUCCAAGUAUGUGCUGCUCGAUCAGAGAAGGCUGACUGCCCAAAAUAUAUUUUUCUAUAUGGUAUUUUACAAUGAAUUAACUUCACUUCAUGAGGUUAAACUUUGUCUGCACGUUUGAUGAAGUUUAGAAGCAUUGCACUCUGCUGAGACACUGUUACAGUUUUUGCCUAUUGCCCGAGGAAAGGCAAGGCAACUUUAUUUAUAAACACACUUUUUAUACACAAGGGAGACUCAAAGAGCUUAAAGGUUGCGUAGGUGAUUCGCUUUUUUGGCCAUUUUUGCAAAAUUACUUGAAAUCCUUAUCAUAACCCGCUUACAGCCACUGAGUUAGAAGUACUGACAUGAAAAUUAAACUUGUCAAUCAUCUGUGGAACGGGCAGGGCUCGAAAAACUCCAGCCAAUCAUUUCCAUUGCCACCGAGUUUCAUUGGACAGUAAGUACGUCAAUCAAACGG